AACUUUGCAUUUGGAAGCAGACCACUCUGCACCUACUUGUGUAUGCCUCCUACGUGGAUCAUUUUUGUAGGCCAACAAAAACAUGUUAACAUAAACUUUGUCUAUCAGUCAGUAUAUUGAUCUAUUAUGCGUGCGUGCGUGCUAUCUGGCAGUUUUGCUGAUUGAAAAUGUUUGAUUAACCACUGUUAGAAUUGUGCAUAAAUGUUGUAAUGUAUGCAGACCAUUAGUUUUCUCUUAUUAUUAUUAUUAUUAUUA
rnacentral:misc_RNA from 1 species